AACGAACGCUGGCGGCAGGCCUAACACAUGCAAGUCGAGCGAGGACUUCGGUCCUAGCGGCGGACGGGUGAGUAACGCGUGGGAACGUGCCCUUUGCUUCGGAAUAGCCCUGGGAAACUGGGAGUAAUACCGGAUGAGCCCUUUGGGGGAAAGAUUUAUCGUCGAAGGAUAGGCCCGCGUUGGAUUAGGUAGUUGGGGGGGUAAUGGCCUACCAAGCCUACGAUCCAUAGCUGGUUUGAGAGGAUGCUCAGCCACACUGAGACUGGGACACGGCCCAGACUCCUACGGGAGGUAGCAGUGGGGAAUCUUAGACAAUGGGGGAAACCCUGAUCUAGCCAUGCCGCGUAAGCGAUGAAGGCCUUAGGGUUGUAAAGCUCUUUCAGCUGGGAAGAUAAUGACGGUACCAGCAGAAGAAGCCCCGGCUAACUCCGUG
rnacentral:rRNA from 1 species